GUUAUAUUUUAAACCAUUAUUUAAUACAAUGUCAAAGCCUAGAAUCAAUUGUAAACGACUUUUGUAACAGGCAAGGUGUUGUAAGUGGUUGAGCAGCUGCCAUACUGCGAUCCACUGAAGCUUAUCCUUUGCUUGAUGAUUCGA
rnacentral:ncRNA from 1 species